GGCCCGGGGGCUCUCAGUUCGCGCGCGCGCGCGCUCCCAGCCUCCCCGGCACCCCGACGGCCCCGGCCCGCAGCCCAGCGCCCGGCCGCCGCCUCCUCGCAGCGACACCUCUUCCCGAGGUGGGGGCGGGAGAGGGCGGGCAGAGAGUGGGACCGCCGUCUUCGGGGGUCGGUCUUCCUCGCCGCGUCCAGGACUGCCUUCUCACCCAUCUGGCAGCCUUGAUCAGGACGCCUGCAAAGCGCGGGGGAGCGCUCUCGAGGGGGCAGAGAAGCCCCGUCCUCGCCACUGACCGCUCCUUCCCCUCCCCGGCGCACACACACUGUCCCCAGGAGUGAUUCCCGCCAGCUGGGCGGCUCGAGCGGUCGCGGUCCUGGUGCCCGGGGCGCGGGGACUUCCUGGGCCUGGUUCCUCGACGUCACCCCCGAAACCCGCGCGCCGCCGCCCGCGGCCCCAAACCACCCCCCAGUGCCGCGCGCGCCCUCGGCCCGGCUCCGCGGUCCGCAGCCCCGUGCGGAGCCCGCCGGGAGCGCAGGGCCAGGCCACGCGCGGGGCUUUCCCUGGGGACUGGACGCGGGGCGAGCUGUCGCUAAAGGAAAACCCGAAAAGAGCUCCGGCUUCUCCGAGCUUCUCUCGCCAGGAAGAAUCGCGCUCACGCUGCUGAGCCACGAGGAACACAGCUGCAAGGGCAGCGCUGUUUUUUGAGGGCGACUCUCAUCCACACCGUCCGAGAAUGAUCAUCCUGCUCUGGGCAUCUGUUCGGAAGGUUGUGCUCGCUCCGGAGGAAGGGCAAGUCAAGAGCCCCUCCUCGGGUGCCAGAGACACCACCUGGCUCCCGGGUUCAGAGCAGAAAAGGGCGUGAGCGGGUCCCCGAAGGGUUACCGGCACCUUCCGCAGCCGCUGACGCCCCUCGCCCGUGGGGAGUCGAGUUGGAACGUGGAUGUCCUUCGUACUAUGACCAGCAUCAGUACGAAGUGACAUUUCGGAGACACUUGGUGUCCGUGGUUUGAUGUUUAAUCGAUGGACUUCUAUUAACAAGCCCCCACAUCCGAGGCCUUCUGAAGACCCCCAUUCCUUUCCAGCUGGAGCCGCAGAGCAGGGACCAAAGGGCACGUGGCCUUCCUUCCAACAGUCCGGACUCGCCCAGGCUGCGGGGCGGGCACGUGUAGACCGGCCCUGGUCCCCACACUGCGCGCCUGCUCCACAGAGACUAACCCACUGGCCAGCUUCCGUGUGCGCUCCCACGCGCGUGUGAAACCAGCUGGAACGGCCUUUCCCGCAGGAGAAGGGCCAUUUCCCUCUAAAGUCUUUCUAAGCAUGGACGAAUCCAUAAAUGUGCGUUUCCCAAAGUGUGGUUCUUCCAACACCAUCUUGCAAGAUCACCUGUAAAAAGGAAGUUGGCCAGAGCACCUGGGAAAACCCUAUUCCUUCUCCCCUUGCGAUGUUUCCAGAUCACACCAGGCGCUCAGUCAAGACACCUGCAGAGCUUGCCGUGGUUCAGCAUUUCUCAGAUCUGAGCGUGGAAACCGUGUCCAAACAAGGCUCAGUAACAUGCUGUGGGACUUUCACUUCUAGGAUUACAUGUCAGGAAUUAGUGAUUUAAACCAGCUAAUGUAUGAUGGGUCAUUCAAAUUGGGCUAAACCAAGCUGCAGCAUAAGAACUCUUUUCAGAGAAUGAAGAGGAAGCUGACCCUAGUUACCCUUAGUGAAUUUCAUAAGUCCACUGCAUUUUAAAAAUGCUUUAAAUAUUAGGUGAACAAUCAACAGAUGAAUAGAUAAAGAUGUGAUAUAUAGAGAUGGAUGCACACGUGCGCACAUAUAUAUUUAAUGGACUAUUACUCAGCCGUAAAAAGAAUGAAGUCUUGCCAUUUGCAACAACAUAGAUGGAUUGGAGGGUGUUAUGCUCAGAAAAAUAAAUCAGACAGAGAAAGGCAAAUACCAUAUGAUUUCACAGUAUAUGUGAAACGAAUAAACACGGCAAAAUAGAAACAGAGCUUUAGACACGGAACAAACAGGUUUUGGUCAGUGUAGAGGCAGGAAACGGAGGAGAGAGGGAGGAGAGGGGACCGCAAAAUAAACGAGGCCCGGGGUGACGUAUGCAAGGUGGGAACGGAGUCAAUAACUGUGUGAUGUCUUUGUACAGUGACAAGUGGUGACUAGAUUGCUCGUGGCGAUCAGUUUCAAAUGUAUAGAAAUAUUGAACCACAAUGUUGUGCAACAAGAAUUCAUGUGGUGCUGUAGGUCAAUUAUACUUCAGAGACAAACACACCAACAACUCAUAGCAAAAGAGAUCAGGCGUGUGGUUUCCAGAAGCUAGGGGUGGGGGAAGGGGGACUGGAUGACAGUGGCCAAAAGGUACAGACUUCCACAACAAGGAUCGACUGCACAGCACGGGGACUAUACUAAUACUUGGUGAAAACUAUAAGGGAAAAGAGUCUGAGAAAACAGAUACGUAUGUGUAUACACAAAACUAACACAGCGUUAUAAUCAAAUAUAUACUUUUGAUUUGUACAUUAUAAAUCAAAUAUACUUUGAUAAAAUAAAUAAAUUUUUAAAAAAUAAUAAGUAAAAAGAUCUCUAGAAUUCAGAGGACACAGAACAUUCAAAAAUAUAUCAAUUAUUGUAAAAGCAAUCUGAUUCUAUGUAGAUCAUUUGAAAGCAAAAGGAACAUGAGAAAAAAAAGGAAUAGAAAAUCUCCCAUAUUCCUGCCCCCCAAAAAAGGUACGAACCUCCAGUUACA
ensembl:lncRNA